GGGCGCAUAGCUCAGUCGGUUAGAGCACCUGCCUUACAAGCAGGGGGUCAUAGGUUCGAGUCCUACUGCGCCCACCA
rnacentral:tRNA from 1 species